GCCUCUGUGGCGGAACUGGUAGACGCGGCAGACUCAAAAUCUGCUGUUCGCAAGGACGUGCUGGUUCGACUCCGGCCAGGGGCACCA
rnacentral:tRNA from 1 species